CUCCAAUAGCGUAUAUUAAAGUUGUUGCAGUUAAAAAGCUCGUAGUUGGAUUUCUGGUUUGAGCAUCCGGUCCACAUUUAUGUGCGUACUAUGGUAGCUUGGGCCUUUUUUUUGUGAGGACGCUUAGCUGCCAUUAAGUUGGUGGUUUUGUGGACUUGCAUCGUUUACUGUGAAAAAAUUAGAGUGUUUAAAGCAGGCGU
rnacentral:rRNA from 1 species